rnacentral:lncRNA from 1 species
GGGGAUUCCAAGAGGCUGCUGGAAGUGAAAGAGCACGGACCUGCGCAUCGGCCGUCCAGAGACCUUUGCUCUGGACCAGUCGGGAUCUCUCACCACCACAUCGUCUUGUUACCCGAGGGGACAAUCCGGCUGACCUCCUAUGACCAUGGCUAGGAUUUAGAUGGCAUUCACUAGUCACAGAGAGCCUUUCAGAUGCCAGGAACUGCUGGGGACCCACACAAAGCCACGAAUCAGAUAAGGCUCCGCUCACAGAGGUCGCAGCGGAGCUUGGGGUGGAAAGGCCACCGCUACAGUGACCGUCCGGCUCAGUCCUGUCUACCGGUCCCACCGAGUCAAAAGCACAAGACCAAAUCAGCCAUGCCGAAGGCACUGCGGAAGAAUCUGUGGUGGAAACGUUGCUGUCCAGUAGAGUGGAUGCUGCCAGGAAGCGGCCUGCAAGGGCCUGGGGGAGACCGGCGGCAGUUUUGCGUCCCAGGAUUCUAUC